UAGUGACGUCAUAGGUCAACGAAGUUGUAAGUAGAUUGCUGGUGAAUGGGCCAAGUACAAAUAUCAUUCUCAAUUAAAUUCUCAUUCAGACGGAGUUGUUCGUAUUGAAUCAAAGCAAUUUAAGCAAGUUAGCAAGAAAACCGAGUCAAAGAAAGAUGAGACCACAAGGAACGCUUUGUCAUAUUCAGUCAGUCAACAAAGAACAAUAUGGAACCACGAGAGGAACCCUUUUGCGUGCUCUACCUCGAAGUAACGAACUCUGCUUUGAUGGGGCGGAUUCAAAAGACAUUAUAAAUUUCUUUAAAACCAACAAUCGCAAGAAAUGUACCUUUCACAUGACAAAAGAUGAUACCUGUUACUAUGUUUCAGAGCAGAACAACA